GACGAACGCUGGCGGCGUGCCUAAUACAUGCAAGUUGAGCGCUGAAGGUUGGUACUUGUACCAACUGGAUGAGCAGCGAACGGGUGAGUAACGCGUGGGGAAUCUGCCUUUGAGCGGGGGACAACAUUUGGAAACGAAUGCUAAUACCGCAUAAAAACUUUAAACACAAGUUUUAAGUUUGAAAGAUGCAAUUGCAUCACUCAAAGAUGAUCCCGCGUUGUAUUAGCUAGUUGGUGAGGUAAAGGCUCACCAAGGCGAUGAUACAUAGCCGACCUGAGAGGGUGAUCGGCCCCAUUGGGACUGAGACACGGCCCAAACUCCUACGGGAGGCAGCAGUAGGGAAUCUUCGGCAAUGGACGAAAGUCUGACCGAGCAACGCCGCGUGAGUGAAGAAGGUUUUCGGAUCGUAAAACUCUGUUGGUAGAGAAGAACGUUGGUGAGAGUGGAAAGCUCAUCAAGUGACGGUAACUACCCAGAAAGGGGCGGCUAACUACGUG
rnacentral:rRNA from 1 species